UUUUAGAAUAACUUAUUACACAAUGAUAAAUAAUACAUCAGAACAAUUCUGAAAGGCAGUUAUUACAUCCUCAACAUCACUUGUUGAAAGUUCUCUUUUCCCAUUCAAUUACCUUAUGACCUUUAUUUUGUAUCAAUCGCUAAUAUGUGUGUGUGUGUGUGUGUGUGUGUGUAUGUAUGUACUUUGACUCUGUUCUCCUUAAUUGAUCCAUCUUUGCAUGAAUUGAUACUUUUAAUCCAUGAACUUGGUGUAUAUCUCCAUUUACUUAGGUCUUUUAGGUUUCUUUCGGCAUUGUUUUGUAGUUUUUAGCUUAGGGGUCUUUUGUUAGAUUUAAUUGUGGAUAACAUUUGAUUUUAUGACAUACCCCUCACUAAGACACUCAGUCUUCCUUACUGUUACCACAUACUAUGCCUUUGCAGUAUGUCUUUAUAUUUAAUAUUAUUUGCUAUUAUUUAAGAGUAACAUUUUUGAGAGAAAUUUUAAUGUUCACAGUCAUUGAAUAUCAUAAUGAAAUAAAACUUACUCAUAUUUUAGUAAGUAAAACUAGAGAGCCAUUAAACUGAACUGUACCACAUAAUCUUUAAAAUUCACCUCUUAAAGUUUCAUCUUUUUCUAAGCUGACUGCAAGCAUAUUUUAUAGUUUGCAAUACAUCUAAUCUAUAGUAUUUUCUGUUUUCUUUAAAAAUAUUGGUAUCUAAUAUUUUUAAAUUAUACACGCAUUCAUUAUACAUAAAUUUAAAAGCUGGAAUUCUUUGCUGAUCUGGGAAUCAGUGUUGACUUAUUAAUGAGGAGGUAUAGAACUCAUUAAUGUGUGAUAAGAUGUUAAAGAAUCCAUCCUUUGGCUAGGUGAAUGUUAAAGGACAGAAAAGGAAUUAGAGUCAAGUCCAGAACUAGGGAGUGGUAAAAUAGCCAAUAGUUACAAACCAAUAACCAUCACAUUGAUAGAUGGUUGUUAACUGAGAGUACUUCAGAGCAAUGCUGCAAAGUCAGAAGGAUCGCUGUGCCAGCAACAGCACACAAGGAAAUGCAAUGGUCUCAAACAAAAAGGUUGAGUGAUCUAAAUCAUUGUUUUCCUUUGACAUGCAAAAGUCUUAACAGUGGGCACAGGAAGGAGAGGUAAAAAAGUGUUCACUUUUGUGACCUCUGCACCUUUAUGCUUUCCUUCAUUAUGCAUAUGUUCACAAAAUCUCUCAGGAACUUCUUUCAAAAUUCAUAUGAACAGACUCAAUCUGCAAAGAAAACAGAUCAUGUGGAUCCCAAGCACACGUGUGUUUACACAAUGACCCCAAGUGGCAAACACUAACUAAAGAAUAUUACAUUUGUUAUCUAAUUUGUUUAACCCACACAGAACCCUGAGAGAAGUAUUAUGAACCUCGGUUUCCAAAAUAGGGAAAAUGGGUCUUUAUGAUGUAAUUAAUCAGGAAACCUCUCUAGUUAUUGUGCUUAUAACCACUCUGCUCUGCUACUCUCGUUAGUCACUAGUGGUUUACUUAAGGUCACUUCAUUACUAUAGUGGAAGUACUUGCAACGUGAAUGGCAGAAUUCCCAUAAGAAGCAGACUGUGGUAUCUGACCAGCAGAAGUCUCCCAAGAAGUGCUUCCACAGCUGUUUCCAACAUGCUCAUGGUUAUGUCCAUACGACUUCCUCUUCCAACUCUGCCCUCUGACACCAUGGGUGUGUGACCCAAGUACAGAGAGACCAUUUUCUAUGUGAAAAGGAUUAACACUGACAUAACGAGAGUUUUUCAAGGACCUCUGAUAAACAGGGAUGUGAUAUUUGUCCACAAAUCUAAGCACCAUUAUAUGUAGGACACCAGAGAAACUGGAGAUACUAAGAAUAUAAUUCAUAAAUACAAAAAUGUCUUUAAUAAUUUCUGUGUGGUGUUUAUUAAGGCUCAAAAAAUAAAUCCUUAAUCAAUAAAUUACUAAAAACAAAAUAUUAUUUUCCAAUUGUAAACACCUAUUAUUUUUUGCUGAAAUAUAUUUAAAGAAAUAUUUAUACAAUGUUGAUAUUAAUAUAGAUAUUGAUGUUAAUACUCAUAUUAAUACAAAAAUAUGUUAACAUUUGCUUAAGGUAUUUAUUUUAUAACAUUAUUAUGUUCAAAAAUAUAUUAACAUGAAUAACCUGCAAAUUGGUUCAUUAGUUUAUUAGACAAACCAAAACCAACCGUAUGCCCACUAUGCAUAUGGCCCAUACACUCAACACAUCACAGAGAAAGAGCACAAAUAAGGUAAACAAAUACAAGUUACAGUUUAUUUUUAGAGAAAUUUUAAAAUAAAACAUUAUAGAUGCUCUGUAAUUUUCCACUUAAUUUUCAUUGUCUAAUGUGUUCAUCUCUCUGAAAUCAUUUCCAAAAUGCUGUUUACCAAAAACAAGAAUAAUGUUUAGAGGCCUCAAAAAUGUUUGAGGUCAUACAUCAAAUAGGUUUUCUUUUUAUUCUUAAAAGCUAUCUGUAGAGUAUCUCUACUUGCCUUUUAGGUCUAUAUUAUUGGGCAUAUUGACCACUGGCUUCUAUCAAAAGCAGUUUGUUUAUUAGUCACUUCUGAGCAUUCUCUAAAUCAUUAAGGCCUGAAAAGUAUGGUAUGCAGGAGUGUCGGGUUGUUGUACAUGAAAAGAAAAAAUUUACUCUACUAAACAUACUCUGCAGAUAAAAAUUAUUGCAUGAAUUCAUGUCGUAAAGGGUAAAAAAAAGGGAGGGGCACAAAAACUGCUAAUGUCUCCCCAGAAGUCUGCACUGUUUGCUACCAAAAUUCCCUUUUUUAAUUGAAUUUUCAUAUCUAAAUCUUUUACACACAAUACCAAAAACUAACCCAUGAGCCAUGUGAAAUGAUACACAGCUGGAUGCUCCUUGCAGAUUUGCCGAAGCAUGACUCUCUUAAUCAAAAGCAUUUGGAUCUUUUUUAAUAAGCCUUGCAGUGAUUUAAAGAAUUUGAUCACAGCAGUUAUCAAGCUCACACAUCACACAGUUUGGUUAAAGGCCUUUUCACUGCUCAUUCACAUCAGCCAGACAUGACAAAAGAAUUCUCUAUGAUUACUUAGAGAAAUGUUCUCUAUUAUUCUAAAUGUUUCCAGUGGAUUAUGUCAUGUGUCAGAGAUUAUAGUAUAAUUUUGGUGGUGUUUAUUAUCUUAAUGUGGUGACCCAAAGUAUGGCACUGUUUCAGUGAAGUAUGUGGCAUCACAGAAGAUAGGCUUCACUUCAAUAAAAGAUAGUGAUAUAGUUUGGUUCUUUGUCCCCACCCAAAUCUCAUCUCGAAUUGUAAUCCCCAAGUAUGCAGGGAGGGACCUGUAAUAUCCAUGUAUCAAGGGAGGGAAGUGAUUGGAUUGUAGGGAGGGGUUUCCCCCAUGCUGGUCUCAUGAGAGUGAGUGGGUUCUCACAGGAUCUGAUGAUAUUAUAAGUGUCUGACAUUUCGACUGCUUGCACUUGUCUCUCCUGUAGCAAUGUAAAAAAGGUCCUUUCUUCCCCUUUGCCUUCCACCAUGAUUGUAACUUUCCUAAGACCUCCCU
rnacentral:lncRNA from 1 species